rnacentral:lncRNA from 1 species
GGAAGGGGCAAAGGGUUUCUCUCUGGCCUCUUUUAUAAGGGUUGGAACUCCAAUAUGGUGCUGGUAGCCAGCUGUGACCAAGAAGAGGACAACCGGAGCAACAAUCUUAGACACAAGGAUGGAAGCUGUAAGGCAGGGGAGGAGUUCCAGGGUCCCUGGAGAACUUCAUGGAGCUGAGGACGUCCUUCCUGUUUUGUAGUGUUGCAUGAGAGAGGAAUAACAUUCUAUAUUAUUUGGCUGGGCGCGGUGGCUCAUGCCUGUAAUCCCAGCACUUUGGGAGGCCGAGUCAUAGGCAGCAGAUCCCUGUGGAUGAGCUUCAACUUCAGGGAGGUCAGCCACUUACUAGCUCUCUAAUCCAGGCGAGUCAUUAAACCUCUCUGCCCCUCAGUUCCUUCAUCUGUAAAAAGGGAUAACAAUAUUACCUACUUCACAGGAUUACCAUAUAGAAUAAAUGAGAUAACACCUGCAAAGCAUUUCACAUCCUUCUUGGAACACGAAUUGAGAAGAAUGAUUCUUAAUUUAAAAAGUAGAAGGGUGCAUCACCCAGCCUCUCAUUGGUUGUACCUGCGGUGUGGCAUUUCAUCCAAACCUGGAAGUGGAAGUGCAGGUGGAAGACCAGCCAAUAGAGAAAAAAGGACACAGUCAAGGGAAUCUGAGAAGGCACACAGGGUUUGUGUCCAACAUACCAUUAAAGAACUCCAUGCAAGAGAGUGACAUGGUCUGGCAACACUUGGGGGGACCGCUUAGAGAGGGUUGAGAAUGGAUGUAGGGAGAUCAGUGGUGGAGUAUUGCCAUGAUCCAGACGAGAGAAGACAGUGUCUGGGGCUGGCAUUUGAUGUAGAGAUGGAGAAAGUGAAUGGACAUCAGAAAUUUUAGGAGGUAAAAUUGCCAGGGUUGAGGGAUAGGUUGAAUUUGAGAAAUAGAGAAAGGCAUCAAGGAUGUCUGGGUUUCUGACCUGAGCAGCCCAGCCGAUGGUGGUGUCAUUGGCUGAGAUAAGAAUCUGAGGUAGUGAGGCAAGUCUGGGAGGAAAGAUCCUUGGGAUUUGAACUUGUGCCUAUGAAAAGCCCAGUUGGAGACUUGGCAUAGGCAACUGCAAGUAGGAGCCUGAUUAUCGGAGUAGUGGAUGUGGGUAGCAGGGAUUGCAUAUAGAUGAGAAAAGGAAGCUUAAAUAACCUAAACACUUAAUGGCUCUGUAGAGAAGAUUGGGUCUGCAAAGGAGAAAAAGAAACCACAGGCAAAGAGGUAGGAGGAAAAUGAGAAGGGCUUUGGUCCUCAAAGCCCAGGGACUUGGGUUUUAGGAGGGAAUGGUCCCAGAGAGACUAGGGGACAUAAGGACUGAGUUCUUUCUGGCAAUGUGGUGGUCAUUAAUUAUUUUAGCUAAAGUGAUGAGGCUGAGGAGUGAGGGGAGCGGAUGAAAUUGAAGUGGAGUAUAGACGACUCAUUUGAGAAGUUUCGCUGGGAAGGAGAGAAGAAAGAAUAGUUGUAGGAAGGGGCUGUGGUUUCAGAGAGGUGUUUUUGUUUUGUGCUGAGAGAGACUCAAGCAUGCUUAAGUGUAAAUGGGAAGGAUUCGGGUGUCAGAGAAGCGUUGGAAAUAGAAGGGAGAGGAGACAUUUUCUAGUGUGGGGCUCUGGGGGCUGGGAUCCAGAACACAGGUGCAGGGCUUGACCUAA